UUAUUAUGAGAGUUUGAUCCUGGCUCAGGACGAACGCUGGCGGCGUGCCUAAUACAUGCAAGUCGAACGCUUCUUUCCUCCCGAGUGCUUGCACUCAAUUGGAAAGAGGAGUGGCGGACGGGUGAGUAACACGUGGGUAACCUACCCAUCAGAGGGGGAUAACACUUGGAAACAGGUGCUAAUACCGCAUAACAGUUUAUGCCGCAUGGCAUAAGAGUGAAAGGCGCUUUCGGGUGUCGCUGAUGGAUGGACCCGCGGUGCAUUAGCUAGUUGGUGAGGUAACGGCUCACCAAGGCCACGAUGCAUAGCCGACCUGAGAGGGUGAUCGGCCACACUGGGACUGAGACACGGCCCAGACUCCUACGGGAGGCAGCAGUAGGGAAUCUUCGGCAAUGGACGAAAGUCUGACCGAGCAACGCCGCGUGAGUGAAGAAGGUUUUCGGAUCGUAA
rnacentral:rRNA from 1 species